AACGCGAAGAACCUUACCAAGGCUUGACAUAUACCGGUAACGGCUAGAAAUGGUCGCCCCGCAAGGUCGGUAUACAGGUGGUGCAUGGUUGUCGUCAGCUCGUGUCGUGAGAUGUUGGGUUAAGUCCCGCAACGAGCGCAACCCUCGUUNUAUGUUGCCAGCACGUUAUGGUGGGAACUCAUAGGAGACUGCCGGGGUCAACUCGGAGGAAGGUGGGGAUGACGUCAAAUCAUCAUGCCCCUUAUGUCUUGGGCUUCACGCAUGCUACAAUGGCCGGUACAAAGGGCUGCGAUACCGUAAGGUGGAGCGAAUCCCAAAAAGCCGGUCUCAGUUCGGAUUGAGGUCUGCAACUCGACCUCAUGAAGUCGGAGUCGCUAGUAAUCGCAGAUCAGCAACGCUGCGGUGAAUACGUUCCCGGGUCUUGUACACACCG
rnacentral:rRNA from 1 species